GACGAACGCUGGCGGCGUGCUUAACACAUGCAAGUCGAACGGAAAGGCCCUGCUUUUGGGGGGUGCUCGAGUGGCGAACGGGUGAGUAACACGUGAGUAACCUGCCCUUGACUUUGGGAUAACUUCAGGAAACUGGGGCUAAUACCGGAUAGGAGCUCCUGCUGCAUGGUGGGGGUUGGAAAGUUUCGGCGGUUGGGGAUGGACUCGCGGCUUAUCAGCUUGUUGGUGGGGUAGUGGCUUACCAAGGCUUUGACGGGUAGCCGGCCUGAGAGGGUGACCGGCCACAUUGGGACUGAGAUACCGCCCAGACUCCUACGGGAGGCAGCAGUGGGGAAUAUUGCACAAUGGGCGGAAGCCUGAUGCAGCAACGCCGCGUGCGGGAUGACGGCCUUCGGGUUGUAAACCGCUUUCGCCUGUGACGAAGCGUGAGUGACGGUAAUGGGUAAAGAAGCACCGGCUAACUACGUG
rnacentral:rRNA from 1 species